rnacentral:rRNA from 1 species
AUUGAACGCUGGCGGCAGGCCUAACACAUGCGAGUCGAGCGGAUGAAGGGAGCUUGCUCCUGGAUUCAGCGGCGGACGGGUGAGUAAUGCCUAGGAAUCUGCCUGGUAGUGGGGGAUAACGUCCGGAAACGGGCGCUAAUACCGCAUACGUCCUGAGGGAGAAAGUGGGGGAUCUUCGGACCUCACGCUAUCAGAUGAGCCUAGGUCGGAUUAGCUAGUUGGUGGGGUAAAGGCCUACCAAGGCGACGAUCCGUAACUGGUCUGAGAGGAUGAUCAGUCACCUUGGAGGUGAGACACGGUCAAUGCGACUGCGGGAGGCAGCAGUGGGGAAUAUGGGGCAGUAGGCGAGAAUAUGGCACAACGGGGCCGCGUGUGAGACAGCGAUCUUCGGAUCGUAAAGCACUCUUAGUUGGGAUGAAGCGCAGUAAGCUGAGACCUUGCUGUAUUGACGUUACCAGGAAAAGAAGCACCGGCUAACUACGUG